rnacentral:snRNA from 1 species
CUGCUUCUGGAGCGCAGUACAUAUACUAAAAUUGGAACCAUACAGAGAGAUUAGCAUGGCCCCUGGGCAAAGAUGACAUGCAAAUUCGUGAUUACAUGAGAAUCUCA